rnacentral:rRNA from 1 species
UACGAAGGGGCUAGCGUUGUUCGGAAUUACUGGGCGUAAAGCGCACGUAGGCGGGCGAUUAAGUCAGGGGUGAAAUCCCGGAGCUCAACUCCGGAACUGCCUUUGAUACUGGUCGUCUAGAGAUCGGAAGAGGUGAGUGGAAUUCCCAGUGUAGAGGUGAAAUUCGUAGAUAUUGGGAAGAACACCAGUGGCGAAGGCGGCUCACUGGUCCGAUACUGACGCUGAGGUGCGAAAGCGUGGGAGCAACAGG